rnacentral:rRNA from 1 species
UAGGGAAUCUUCCGCAAUGGACGCAAGUCUGACGGAGCAACGCCGCGUGAGUGAAGAAGGAUUUCGGUUCGUAAAACUCUGUUGUUAGAGAAGAACAGCGCAUAGAGUAACUGUUAUGCGUGUGACGGUAUCUAACCAGAAAGCCACGGCUAACUACGUGCCAGCAGCCGCGGUAAUACGUAGGUGGCAAGCGUUGUCCGGAAUUAUUGGGCGUAAAGCGCGCGCAGGCGGCUACUUAAGUCCAUCUUAAAAGUGCGGGGCUUAACCCCGUGAUGGGAUGGAAACUGAGAAGCUGGAGUGUCGGAGAGGAAAGUGGAAUUCCUAGUGUAGCGGUGAAAUGCGUAGAGAUUAGGAAGAACACCGGUGGCGAAGGCGACUUUCUGGACGACAACUGACGCUUAGGCGCGAAAGCGUGGGGAGCAAACAGG